GAUGAACGCUGGCGGCGUGCUUAACACAUGCAAGUCGAACGAAGCAUUUAAGACAGAUUACUUCGGUUUGAAGUCUUUUAUGACUGAGUGGCGGACGGGUGAGUAACGCGUGGGUAACCUGCCUCAUACAGGGGGAUAGCAGCUGGAAACGGCUGGUAAUACCGCAUAAGUGCACAGUACCACAUGGUACAGUGUGAAAAACUCCGGUGGUAUGAGAUGGACCCGCGUCUGAUUAGCGUGUUGGCGGGGUAACGGCCCACCAAGGCGACGAUCAGUAGCCGACCUGGGAGGGUGACCGGCAAAAUUGGGACUGAGACACGGCCCAGACUCCUACGGGAGGCAGCAGUAGGGAAUAUUGCACAAUGGAGGAAGCUCUGAUGCAGCGUCGCCGCGUGAGUGAAGAAGUAGUUCGCUAUGUAAAGCUCUAUCAGCAGGGAAGAUAGUGACGGUACCUGACUAAGAAGCUCCGGCUAAAUACGUG
rnacentral:rRNA from 1 species